rnacentral:rRNA from 1 species
AUAACAACAGAUGAUGCCUAUCAACUAGUUUAAAAGAUGGUUCUGCUAUCACUCGUUGGAGUGGGACCCUGCGGUGCAUUAGCUAGUUGGUAGGGUAACGGGCCUACCAAGGCGAUGAUGCAUAGCCCGAGUUGAGAGACUGAUCGGGCCACAGUUGGGGACUGAGACACGGGACCCAAAACUCCGUACGGGGAGGCAGCAGUAGGGAAUCUUCCACAAGUGGACGACAAGUCUGAGUGGAGACAACGCCGCGUGAGUAGAAGUAAGGGUUUCGGCUACGUAAAGCUCUGUUGUUGGUAGAAGAAGGACGAGGGGUAGUAACUGACCUUUGUUUGACGGUAAUCAAUUAGAAGUCACGGCUAACUACGUGCCAGCAGCCGCGGUAAU